rnacentral:misc_RNA from 1 species
GACAUAGGGAACAGAACAAAAGUCCCUAUCAUUUCUCCAGCAACAAGUCCUUCACUCUCAGUCAAGGAAAAUCCCUUUUUCAUUAGAGGAGCACUUCCUUCUUCCAGCCAGACUAAAGCCAUUGCAGCAAUUGUCAGAAACUAUGAUUGGAGGCAGGUUGUGAUCAUCUACGAGGAUAGCUCCUAUGGAACUGGGAUAGUUCCACAUCUGACUGAUGCCUUGCUGGAAAUCAACACUUUAGUCUCCUAUAGAAGUGUUCUUUCUCCUUCAG